AUCCAACAUUUUCAUUAUACAUUUUUUUUUAUUAUAAAUCAGAGUUUUUAUACAUAAAAUAUACAAGUUUACAAAUUUAAGAAAUAGUAAUGGAAAAAUAGUAUUUAAAAUAUCAUUUUAUGUUUUUAAUGAGAUUAAAGAGAGAGAAACUUGAAUAGUCAAGUAUUGGACCCGAAUGUCAUAUAAUUUUAAUUGGGGAUUUUUAUAAAAUUAAGAAAGUUUUGCUAAAGGGCUUAUUUGAAAAGAAUUUUAGUAUUUUGGGUCCAAGUGUAAUUUUUAAAAAUAAAUUUAAAAAAAAAAAAAAAAAAAAAAAAAGAAAAGGCUUCAGCCUUUCUUUUUACCCGAACCCCUCUCUCUCUCUCCUCAGAAAACCCCUCUCUCUCUCUCUCUCUCUCUCUCUCUCUCUCUCUCUCUCUCUCUCUCUCUCUCUCCUCUGCGUAUUACUGUUGCCGACGACGCAGGAGUACUUUCCGGCCACCAUUUUUAGCCACGCGCCGGACCGUUGGAUUCAGAGGCCUCCGAACUAUCGACCCACGCGGGAAUCUAGAGCUCACUCGCCGAUUAAACGCCUCAACCACUCGAUUUAAGUUCGGCCACCCCGCGACUUCAAAGUUGCGAUUCGGCCACCUCGGGCAUCCGUUUGCCGAUCCGUCACCACCAUCGUGCUCCUCGUGUUGUGGGCUUCAAAACCCAAUAACUUGUUCCUACAUCUACCAUAGUUGGGUGGUGGGCCCACCACGAGCCACCGCGAUCCACCGUAGACCGGCGGUCGAAACUUAGUGUUCGGGGUUUUGAAGUACGUUUUGAGUCUCAGAAAAUCAUCGUUUGACUUGUUGUGGAACCCGAUCAUUUUGGAUUUGUAUGGAUUUGAUUGAUUGACUCUUGGUGAGCCGUUUUAAAAUAAGCUAAGGACCUAAGGUGUGGCUUUAGCUAUUGAGCAACUUGUGGAGCACGGACUCAGUAGCAAUGCAAUAAUGGUUUAGAGUUUUCAUAUGGCUGCCUUAAAUUUAAAGUAUUCAUACGUGUAAUAAUUUCUUCUAAUAAGUUUAUAUAAAAGUUUUAAAUUUUUCUGUAUUUCUUCGUAUCAUUUUAUUUAAUUAUUUUGGUCAAGUGCCUUACAUACUCGUAAACCCUAGAAUUACGAGUAUGUGGCAGACGUACCCUACCUUAGGGCCGUUACAAAUGGUAUCAGAGCUUUGAGUUUGUAGAUGUCGUAUACUCGUUAUGUUAUUAGAUUUUGGGAUCUGAAAUGCUACUGAGUUCCGCCACAAGACAAGCCACACGUUAAUGGGCAAGAAGUCGGUUUUGACAACGAAAGGGUUUCAUAAAGACUUGGUUUUAAAGAAUAAUCUUCAUCGGCUAUAUAAUUGUUUUCUAGUUAUCUAAUUUUAUGCAAAAAAAAAAAAAAAAAAAAAAAAAAAAAAAAAAUUGACUGUAAGACAUGAAGAUCAAGGAUGUUUUCAUGAUGAUGGUCAUUUUCUCUUCCUACGUUAUGUGGUUUGUGUUCAAAAGUAUGGAUGAUGAGGAUUCGUUUGUAUUUUCGUAUACAUUCAUUGUAAUUUAUACUAUUGUUAUAGCUUAUUUCCUUUCUUUCUAUAUUGUAGUCCUCAUGUGAGGUGUUUACAUAUCCUCGCCUUUUAUAUAUGAUAAGGAUUACAAGUCAAGAAUAAGUUUUGUUUUCGGGGUGAAGGUAAGUGUUGUGAAUAAAAUCUUAUGAUGUGUAAUGUUGUUCUGUUUAUUUGUAAUUGUAGUUCUUGUCUUCGAUUAUCUAAUUUAUUUUGAAAUUUCGAGGACGAAAUUAUUUUAACGGGGGAAGGAUUGUAAUAUCCAACAUUUUCAUUAUACAUUUUUUUUUAUUAUAAAUCAGAGUUUUUAUACAUAAAAUAUACAAGUUUACAAAUUUAAGAAAUAGUAAUGGAAAAAUAGUAUUUAAAAUAUCAUUUUAUGUUUUUAAUGAGAUUAAAGAGAGAGAAACUUGAAUAGUCAAGUAUUGGACCCGAAUGUCAUAUAAUUUUAAUUGGGGAUUUUUAUAAAAUUAAGAAAGUUUUGCUAAAGGGCUUAUUUGAAAAGAAUUUUAGUAUUUUGGGUCCAAGUGUAAUUUUUAAAAAUAAAUUUAAAAAAAAAAAAAAAAAAAAAAAAAGAAAAGGCUUCAGCCUUUCUUUUUACCCGAACCCCUCUCUCUCUCUCCUCAGAAAACCCCUCUCUCUCUCUCUCUCUCUCUCUCUCUCUCUCUCUCUCUCUCUCCUCUGCGUAUUACUGUUGCCGACGACGCAGGAGUACUUUCCGGCCACCAUUUUUAGCCACGCGCCGGACCGUUGGAUUCAGAGGCCUCCGAACUAUCGACCCACGCGGGAAUCUAGAGCUCACUCGCCGAUUAAACGCCUCAACCACUCGAUUUAAGUUCGGCCACCCCGCGACUUCAAAGUUGCGAUUCGGCCACCUCGGGCAUCCGUUUGCCGAUCCGUCACCACCAUCGUGCUCCUCGUGUUGUGGGCUUCAAAACCCAAUAACUUGUUCCUACAUCUACCAUAGUUGGGUGGUGGGCCCACCACGAGCCACCGCGAUCCACCGUAGACCGGCGGUCGAAACUUAGUGUUCGGGGUUUUGAAGUACGUUUUGAGUCUCAGAAAAUCAUCGUUUGACUUGUUGUGGAACCCGAUCAUUUUGGAUUUGUAUGGAUUUGAUUGAUUGACUCUUGGUGAGCCGUUUUAAAAUAAGCUAAGGACCUAAGGUGUGGCUUUAGCUAUUGAGCAACUUGUGGAGCACGGACUCAGUAGCAAUGCAAUAAUGGUUUAGAGUUUUCAUAUGGCUGCCUUAAAUUUAAAGUAUUCAUACGUGUAAUAAUUUCUUCUAAUAAGUUUAUAUAAAAGUUUUAAAUUUUUCUGUA